rnacentral:rRNA from 1 species
AGAGUUUGAUCCUGGCUCAGGAUGAACGCUGGCGGCAUGCCUAAUACAUGCAAGUCGAACGAGAGGAAAAGAAGCUUGCUUCUUUGAAUCUAGUGGCGAACGGGUGAGUAACACGUAGGUAACCUGCCCAUGUGCCCGGGAUAACUUCUGGAAACGGAUGCUAAAACCGGAUAGGUAGCAGACAAGCAUUUGACUGCUAUUAAAGUGGCUAAGGCCAUGAACAUGGAUGGACCUGCGGUGCAUUAGCUAGUUGGUGAGGUAACGGCCCACCAAGGCGACGAUGCAUAGCCGGCCUGAGAGGGCGGACGGCCACAUUGGGACUGAGACACGGCCCAAACUCCUACGGGGGGCAGCAGUAGGGAAUUUUCGUCAAUGGGGGGAACCCUGAACGAGCAAUGCUGCGUGAGUGAGGAAGGUCUUCGGAUCGUAAAGCUCUGUUGUAAGAGAAAAACGACAUUCAUAGGGAAUGAUGAGUGAGUGAUGGUAUCUUACCAGAAAGUCACGGCUAACUACGUGCCAGCAGCCGCGGUAAUACGUAGGUGGCGAGCGUUAUCCGGAAUGAUUGGGCGUAAAGGGUGCGUAGGUGGCAGAACAAGUCUGGAGUAAAAGGUAUGGGCUCAACCCGUACUGGCUCUGGAAACUGUUCAGCUAGAGAACAGAAGAGGACGGCGGAACUCCAUGUGUAGCGGUAAAAUGCGUAGAUAUAUGGAAGAACACCGGUGGCGAAGGCGGCCGUCUGGUCUGGAUUCUGACACUGAAGCACGAAAGCGUGGGGAGCAAAUAGGAUUAGAUACCCUAGUAGUCCACGCCGUAAACGAUGAGAACUAGGUGUUGGGGGAAUAACUCAGUGCCGCAGUUAACGCAAUAAGUUCUCCGCCUGGGGAGUAUGCACGCAAGUGUGAAACUCAAAGGAAUUGACGGGGGCCCGCACAAGCGGUGGAGUAUGUGGUUUAAUUCGAAGCAACGCGAAGAACCUUACCAGGCCUUGACAUCCCUUGCAGAGGUAUGGAGAUAUAUCCGAGGUUACCAAGGAGACAGGUGGUGCAUGGUUGUCGUCAGCUCGUGUCGUGAGAUGUUGGGUUAAGUCCCGCAACGAGCGCAACCCCUAUCUUCAGUAGCCAGCGGUUUGGCCGGGCACUCUGGAGAGACUGCCAGGGAUAACCUGGAGGAAGGCGGGGAUGACGUCAAAUCAUCAUGCCCCUUAUGACUUGGGCUACACACGUGCUACAAUGGCGUAAACAAAGGGAAGCAAGGGAGCGAUCCGGAGCAAAUCCCAAAAAUAACGUCUCAGUUCGGAUUGUAGUCUGCAACUCGACUACAUGAAGCUGGAAUCGCUAGUAAUCGCGAAUCAGCAUGUCGCGGUGAAUACGUUCCCGGGUCUUGUACUCACCGCCCGUCAA